rnacentral:rRNA from 1 species
UACGUAGGUGGCAAGCGUUGUCCGGAUUUACUGGGCGUAAAGAGCGCGCAGGCGGUCGUUCAAGUCGCGUGUGAAAGCCCCCGGCUCAACUGGGGAGGGUCACGCGAUACUGAUCGACUCGAAGGCAGGAGAGGGAAGUGGAAUUCCCGGUGUAGUGGUGAAAUGCGUAGAUAUCAGGAGGAACACCGGUGGCGAAGGCGGGUCUCUGGGCCGAUAUUGACGCUGAGGAGCGAAAGCGUGGGGAGCGAACAGG